rnacentral:rRNA from 1 species
AGUGAACGCUGGCGGCAGGCCUAAUACAUGCAAGUCGAACGGCAGCACAGCAGAGCUUGCUCUGUGGGUGGCGAGUGGCGGACGGGUGAGGAAUACAUGGGAAUCUGCCCAGUCGUGGGGGAUAACGUAGGGAAACUUACGCUAAUACCGCAUGCGCCCUUCGGGGGAAAGCCGGGGACCUUCGGGCCUGGCGCGAUUGGAUGAGCCCAUGUCGGAUUAGCUAGUUGGCGGGGUAAUGGCCCACCAAGGCGACGAUCCGUAGCUGGUCUGAGAGGAUGAUCAGCCAACUGGAACUGAGACACGGUCCAGACUCCUACGGGAGCAGCAGUAGGGAAUAUUGGACAAUGGGCGCAAGCCUGAUCCAGCCAUGCCGCGUGAGUGAAGAAGGCCCUCGGGUUGUAAAGCUCUUUUGUCCGGAAAGAAAAGCGCCGGGUUAAUACCCUGGUGUCCUGACGGUACCGAAGAAUAAGCACCGGCUAACUCGUGCCAGCACG